CGCGUGGGUAACCUGCCUCAUACAGGGGGAUAACAGUUGGAAACGACUGCUAAUACCGCAUAAGCGCACAGGAUCGCAUGAUCCGGUGUGAAAAACUCCGGUGGUAUGAGAUGGACCCGCGUCUGAUUAGCCAGUUGGCAGGGUAACGGCCUACCAAAGCGACGAUCAGUAGCCGACCUGAGAGGGUGACCGGCCACAUUGGGACUGAGACACGGCCCAAGC
rnacentral:rRNA from 1 species